rnacentral:tRNA from 1 species
GCGGGGUAGAGCAGUCUGGUAGCUCGUCGGGCUCAUAACCCGAAGGUCAAGGGUUCAAAUCCAUUCCCCGCUA